rnacentral:rRNA from 1 species
AUUGAACGCUGGCGGCAGGCCUAACACAUGCAAGUCGAACGCGUGGCGGACGGGUGAGUAAUGUCUCGGACACUGCCUGAUGGAGGGGGAUAACUUCUGGAAACGGUCGCUAAUACCGCAUACCAUCAAAUGUGCCCAGAUGUGUUUAGCUUGUUGGUGGGGUACCGGCUCACCAAGGCGUCGAUCCCUAGCUGGUCUGAGAGGAUGACCAGCCACACGGGACCUGAGAGACGGUCCAUACUCCUACGGGAGGCAGCAGUGGGGAAUAUUGCACAAUGGGCGCAAGCCUGAUGCAGCCAUGCCGAGUGUAUGAAGAAGGCCUUCGGGUUGUAAAGGCCUUUCAGCGGGGAGGCGUUACCCGCAGAAGAAGCACCGGCUAACUCCGUGCCAGCAGCCGCGGUAAUUC